rnacentral:rRNA from 1 species
UACGGGGGGAGCAAGCGUUGUUCGGAUUUACUGGGCGUAAAGGGCGCGUAGGCGGCCACCGCAAGUCGACUGUGAAAUCUCCGGGCUUAACUCGGAAAGGUCAGCCGAUACUGCGGGGCUAGAGUGCAGAAGGGGCAACUGGAAUUCUCGGUGUAGCGGUGAAAUGCGCAGAUAUCAGGAGGAACACCGAUGGCGAAGGCAGGUCUCUGGGCAUUAACUGACGCUGAGGAGCGAAAGCAUGGGGAGCGAACAGG